GCGAUGCAGUCCAGCGGGUUCACCGCUUACUCGUCACGAAUCUGAGCGCUGUGAAACCGAAGGGUUAUGGACCGGGCGGGGAGAUGAAAAUACUCAGGAUGCAAAGGUGGAUAUGAGACCCACUGACCAGCCCGGAGAGCUUGGCGUCUAGUGAGGGAGACGGCUGUGAAAGCCCUGCCGCUGUAGCAGAGGCAAGGGAAGAGCGAGGAGCAACUGCCUGGUUACAGCCGUCCUGCCUUUCCCCCCAUGGGUCUCCCCUGCCCCACCGCUGGUUGUUCAGCCUCUUUCCCACACCAGAACGGAGGACUGGUGAGAUCCCUGUGACGCGAGGUGCGUGAGCAAAAGGGGCCGGAGAAAGGGGAGCUGUCCUGGCACGCCUGUCGGGUCUCUGCCUGAGCCGAGAGCCCGCGAUUCCCGCUGAAGGCAGAGACACCCGCUCCGCCCUGGGGCAUGGAGAAACAGGCCCGGAAUGACCACGCGGCCUGUCCAGGUCACGCAGAAGUUACCCGAAUUACUCUCCAAACACUUCAGGUGCUGAGGUCUGGCCUCCUCCACUGGAUUUUAAGACACCUGAGGACACAGACUGGCUCUCAUCCCUGCACCGUCUCAUCCCUGCUUCUGCCGGCUUUGGGGGAGAUGCUGGUAGCAGACACCAGCGAGGUGACAGCUGCGUGUUCUGCCUGGUGGGGCCCUGC